GUAGAAGAGCACGGGAGUCCCGGGUAACCGAAACGAGCGGGGACUGAGAGUGGGCACGCGGCCCUUACCGUCGAACCUGAUCCGGGUCAUGCCGGCGAAGGGAGCAAGGAUGUCAACCGG
rnacentral:ncRNA from 2 species